ensembl:lncRNA
CAACAGCAUCCUGGCUUGUAUCAGAAAUAGUGUGGUCAGUAGGAACAGGGAAGUAAUUGUCCCCCUGUACUCAGCACUGGUAAAGCCACACCUUGAGUACUGUGUCCAGUUUUGGGCCCCUCACUGUAAGAAAGACAUUGAGGCCCUGGAGCGUGUCCAGAGGAGGGCAACAAAGCUGGUGAGUGAAACAGGAUGGGUGGAAAACCAUUUGUUAUGAACCUUGCAAUUUCUUCGCUCUGUGUGUAGAGAACAGCCAUAGGCAGGUCCUGACUGAUUCGGAGUAUCAGGCUGUAUACCCCAGAUAGAACACUUAUCAUGAAGGAACACUGGUGUGAGCAGCUGCACUGCAGAGCUUUGCUCUGAAAAUGUGUUGACUUCAACAAGAGUUCUCCGUAGCCCCACUUUUGGAAUCGAUUCUACUAGGUGGUACAGCCUAGUUCUGAGGAGAAAACAGGUGGUUGAAGAUACCAUCAACAGCUGCCACAGUGUGAAGGCUGCCUGAUACUCUUCUCUCUUGGACAGCACCUUGUGGGAUUUACUCUACAUGAAAUCAAUUCCCUACAUUUGAAUACAGCUGACAAACUGCUAAACAUGGGUUUGUAGUUAGUAGAAGAUUGGGCAACUUUGACUUAUCACUAUUUAAAUAAUGGUGAUAAAACUUGUGUUGUGUAAUUUAAAACAUUCACAGAAUAAUUAAAAGUCUGUGAGAUGUAGUUGUCAGAAAUGUGAAUUAACUUCAAAUUGAUUGUUUUGUUCGGAAACCAAUGAUGGUAAUUCAUGGCAUGACGAAAACUAAGAAUGUGAAACUGUAAAAUAAACUGAAUUCAGUGUCAAGCAAUAAUAUAAAAAACUACCAUACAUACUUGGUAAGCUCUUGUUCUGUCCACAACUAUAUUAUGGAUCUGUCUGAAUUCAGUAGACUCAGAAAUAUGCCCAAUGACUCUUUUUCCUUUAGACAAUCCCUUAGAUUUUUCUUUAGCAUGAUAAAUUAAAGUUAUUUAUUAGCAGUAAA